GGCUUCAUGGUCUAGUGGUAUGAUUCUCGCUGAAAGUGCGAGAGGCCCCGCGUUCGAAUCGCGGUGGAGCCC